CAGGACGAACGCUGGCGGCGUGCCUAAUACAUGCAAGUCGAACGGUCUUUCUAUGGAAGCUUGCUUCCACUGAGAAGAUAGUGGCGAACGGGUGAGUAACACGUGGGUAACCUGCCCAUAAGAGGGGGAUAACAUCCGGAAACGGGUGCUAAUACCGCAUAGUUUUCUUGAUCGCAUGAUUGAGAAAGGAAAGACGGCCUUUGUGCUGUCGCUUAUGGAUGGACCCGCGGCGUAUUAGUUAGUUGGUGAGGUAACGGCUCACCAAGACGAUGAUACGUAGCCGACCUGAGAGGGUGAUCGGCCACAUUGGGACUGAGACACGGCCCAAACUCCUACGGGAGGCAGCAGUAGGGAAUCUUCCGCAAUGGACGAAAGUCUGACGGAGCAACGCCGCGUGAGUGAAGAAGGUUUUCGGAUCGUAAAACUCUGUUGUCAGAGAAGAACAAGUUGGAGAGUAACUGCUCCAGCCUUGACGGUACCUGACCAGAAAGCCACGGCUAACUACGUGCCAGCCGCCGC
rnacentral:rRNA from 1 species